rnacentral:rRNA from 1 species
CCUACGGGUGGCAGCAGUGAGGAAUAUUGGUCAAUGGGCGCGAGCCUGAACCAGCCAAGUAGCGUGAAGGAUGACUGCCCUACGGGUUGUAAACUUCUUUUAUAAAGGAAUAAAGUGAGGCACGUGUGCCUUUUUGUAUGUACUUUAUGAAUAAGGAUCGGCUAACUCCGUGCCAUCAGCCGCGGUAAUACGGAGGAUCCGAGCGUUAUCCGGAUUUAUUGGGUUUAAUGGGAGCGUAGAUGGGUUGUUAAGUCAGGUGUGAAAGUUUGCGGGUCAACCGUAAAAUUGAAAUUGAUACUGGCAGUCUUGAGUACAGUUGAGGUAGGCGGAAUUCGUGGUGUAGCGGUGAAAUGCUUAGAUAUCACGAAGAACUCCGAUUGCGAAGGCAGCUUACUAAACUGCCACUGACAUUGAUGCUCGAAAGUGUGGGUAUCAAACAGGAUUAGAUACCCUAGUAGUC